rnacentral:lncRNA from 1 species
GUUUUGUCUCUUACAUCAAAUAUUUUAUAAAUUUAUUGAAAACGGUUUGUACAAUAUUUAUAAAAGGUACCAGGAUUAUAAUUUACUACAUUAAGUUCAAACUAUGGUAAAAUAAGAAAAACAUGUCAUUUACUGUCAGACUGUCUAGCAACACAUUUGUUUGCUGUUAACUUGAUAGUUCACUAUCAAUAACAAAUGCCUACAUCUAUCUUUUAAAUCGUUCAUGUACAUGUAGGUAACUGCAAGUAAAAAAUAACAAAUGAUUACUACCAUUUAUACCAUUUACACAACCUCAGCCAAAGUUAGCCUUGGAUGGAUUUGGCUAUUUUAUUUUAUCCUUUUUGGUCGUAUAGCUCUUCAACUGUUUCGGUUCUUCUACAUCCUUCGCUUUCAAAUAUUUGGCAUUGAGCGUUCCUGAUACCGGUAAAUCCAGAAAAGCGCUUCGGACGCAUCAAAUUGAAACGUGCUGUUUUAUUUUUUUACAUAUUAACUAGUAUUCUAUAGUGAAAGUGAUUAUUAAGCUUUACAAUGACCGUAAAAGACUAUUCCUUCAGCAUUGAUUUUCUAACCACAACAAACAGUUAAAAAACUAUCUGCAUAGCGAAAUCGUUUGAAACAUUUUAGAUUAGUGUCAAGCUGUUUUUUUU